rnacentral:miRNA from 1 species
GUAGGGGAGGUUGGGCCAGGGA